AAUGAACGCUGGCGGCGUGCCUAACACAUGCAAGUCGUGCGCGAAAGCGGCUUCGGCCGCAAGUAGAGCGGCGAACGGGUGAGUAACACGUGGGUGACCUGCCUGGGAAUGGGGGAUAACCUGGGGAAACUCGGGCUAAUACCGCAUGCGUUCCCGGGGCUUCGGCUCCGGGAGGAAAGACGGCCUCUGCGUGCAAGCUGUCGUUCCCCGCGGGGCCCGCGGCCGAUUAGCUAGUUGGCGGGGUAACGGCCCACCAAGGCGACGAUCGGUAGCCGGCCUGAGAGGGUGAACGGCCACACUGGAACUGAGACACGGUCCAGACUCCUACGGGAGGCAGCAGUGGGGAAUAUUGGACAAUGGGGGCAACCCUGAUCCAGCAACGCCGCGUGGGGGAUGAAGGUCUUCGGAUUGUAAACCCCUGUUGAGAGGGACGAAGGCUUGCGGGCAAACAGUCCGCACGCUUGACGGUACCUCGAGAGGAAGCCCCGGCUAACUCUGUGCCAGCCGCCGCGGUAAGAC
rnacentral:rRNA from 1 species